CUUGGGUGAACAAAUACCUCUUGGAGAUCCUGUUUUCAAUUCUUCUGAAUAUAUACCCGUAAGUGGAAUGGCUGGAUCAGAUGGGGGUUCUAGGUUUAAUUUUCUGAUGAACUGCCAUACUGUUUUCCACAUCGGCUGCAUCAUUUAAAAUUCCCACCAACACUAUACAAGAGUUCCAGUUUCUCCACAUCCUUGCCAGUAUUUAUUUUCUGGUUUUUUGAUAGUGGCCAUCCUAAUGGGCAAGAAGUAUAUAAUAACUCUUACACCAGAAACUCUUUUCUUGCUGAAGCUUUCUAUUAUUAUUAUUGUAUUAGAAUGUAAAAACCCGAAUAACUUAGUUUGCCUUAGUUUGCCGAUAUAAUAGGAGAUAAUUUAGAAAGAUUUCAAAACUGACAAAGUUUUGACAUCUAAAUUGUGCAUUCAUAUGAAACCUGUUCUUUUUGCAGAUCCCCUGAUAGGUAAAACACUGCUUCUCCAGGCUUGCUCUGGAAACAGGUUAUAGCCAGUGAUGCUCCAGCCAUCCCACCCACGGACUACACAUGCCAAGGAAGAAAACCCAGGUGGCGGGUCCACAAACAGGACUCCGUCGUCAACAGUCAGGGGAACUGUACAUCCCACAACAUACGAUGUCCAAGCUCAGCUCAACAGAGAAAUCCCCUCCUCCCACUCUCCUUGCAGCUUCUUGAAUUCAUAAAGCUCCUUUCUGCCACUGCUCCAAACACUUGUCCCCCUGAGUCUUCGCUUGGUUGCUCCUUUUCAUCAAUCAGGGCCCAGCUCCCUGAAGGUGCCCUUCCCUGGCCACCCCAUAAACACAUCUUCCUCAACAGUCCUGUUUACUUUAGAUUGUUACUAAUUGCACAUUACUAAUUUCACAGUGCUUAUCCCAAU
rnacentral:lncRNA from 10 species